UAUCGCUCUGGUUUUGCGUACGUUCUACUGACAUAGCACUGCAUUAAGACACACACUAAGGCACGUUUUUGUUGUUAACCUUGAGCCUUUCCAGCCACCCUUGUACGUUUUAUCCGUUGCAAACCCCUUUUGAGCCUUUAACCAUUUUGUUUGUUUUUAAACCACUUGCGUUCCCCUAUGGCCAAAAAAAAAAUUAUAAUAAUCUCUUUUACCCUUGCUCGGCAUGAAUGUUGUGGAUUUUGAAACUGUGUUGAAUUCUAAGUUUGGGGUGGUGAAUCUAAUACAAAAAGGGACAAGCGUGCGAAAAAUUGUUACAAGAAAAGAGAAAAAGAAAAAUAAAGUGGAGGCUUUUUGAAUGCUCCGAAAAUAAAAAGAAGA
rnacentral:lncRNA from 1 species